AUUGAACGCUGGCGGCAUGCCUUACACAUGCAAGUCGAGCGGCAGCGCGGGGGCAACCCUGGCGGCGAGCGGCGGACGGGUGAGUAAUACAUCGGAACGUGUCCUUUCGUGGGGGAUAACCAGUCGAAAGACUGGCUAAUACCGCAUGAGAUCUCACGAUGAAAGCGGGGGACCGCAAGGCCUCGCGCGAUUGGAGCGGCCGAUGUCGGAUUAGCUAGUUGGCGGGGGUAAAAGCCCACCAAGGCUACGAUCCGUAGCUGGUUUGAGAGAACGACCAGCCACACUGGGACUGAGACACGGCCCAGACUCCUACGGGAGGCAGCAGUGGGGAAUUUUGGACAAUGGGGCAACCCUGAUCCAGCCAUGCCGCGUGUGUGAAGAAGGCCU
rnacentral:rRNA from 1 species